UGCCAGCAGCCGCGGUAACACGUAGGGUGCAAGCGUUGUCCGGAUUUAUUGGGCGUAAAGAGCUCGUAGGUGGUUCAGUAAGUCGGAUGUGAAAACUCAAGGCUCAACCUUGAGACGCCAUCCGAUACUGCUGUGACUUGAGUACGGUAGAGGAGUGUGGAAUUCCUGGUGUAGCGGUGAAAUGCGCAGAUAUCAGGAGGAACACCGACAGCGAAGGCAGCACUCUGGGCCGAUACUGACACUGAGGAGCGAAAGCAUGGGGAGCAAACAGGAUUAGAUA
rnacentral:rRNA from 1 species